rnacentral:lncRNA from 1 species
UCGUCAUGUUCUUCAACACAAGGAAAAUUUAACCGAGAGCAGUUUUACAAAUUUAUCAUUUUCCCUGGCAAGUGGAUUAAAGUCUGGUAUGAUCGACUGACCUUGCUGGCAUUACUUGAUCGAACUGAAGACAUCAAGGAGAAUGUACUGGCGAUUUUACUCAUUGUCCUGGUUUCCCUCCUUGGAUUUCUGACCUUGAGCCAAGGCUUUUGCAAAGAUAUGUGGGUGCUCCUCUUCUGCCUCGUCAUGGCCAGCUGCCAGUACUCCCUGCUAAAGGCAAGACCACAUCUAAUUCUUACCAGUAGCGUGUGCUGUCACUAAUGUAGCCUUGAAAUCAUGAGAUGAUGACACAGACACUUCUGAUUUGUGUUUUAGAGUGUUCAGCCUGACCCCGCCUCACCAAUACACGGACACAACCAAAUCAUAACAUAUAGCAGAC